rnacentral:rRNA from 1 species
UACGGGGGGGGGCAAGCGUUGUUCGGAAUUACUGGGCGUAAAGGGCUCGUAGGCGGCCAACUAAGUCCGACGUGAAAUCCCCAGGCUUAACCUGGGAACUGCGUCGGAUACUGGAUGGCUUGAAUCCGGGAGAGGGAUGCGGAAUUCCAGGUGUAGCGGUGAAAUGCGUAGAUAUCUGGAGGAACACCGGUGGCGAAGGCGGCGAUCUGGCCCAACAUUGACACUGAGACCCGAAAGCGUGGGGAUCAAACAGG